GUGAGUAAUGCCUAGGGAACUGCCCAGUCGAGGGGGAUAACAGUUGGAAACGACUGCUAAUACCGCAUACGCCCUACGGGGGAAAGGAGGGGCUCUUCGGACCUUUCGCGAUUGGAUGUACCUAGGUGGGAUUAGCUUGUUGGUGAGGUAAGAGCUCACCAAGGCGACGAUCCCUAGCUGUUCUGAGAGGAUGAUCAGCCACACUGGGACUGAGACACGGCCCAGACUCCUACGGGAGGCAGCAGUGGGGAAUAUUGCACAAUGGGCGAAAGCCUGAUGCAGCCAUGCCGCGUGUGUGAAGAAGGCCUUCGGGUUGUAAAGCACUUUCAGCGAGGAGGAAAGGUUAACGGUUAAUACCCGUUAGCUGUGACGUUACUCGCAGAAGAAGCACCGGCUAACUUCGUGCCAGCAGCCGCGGUAAUACGAGGGGUGCAAGCGUUAAUCGGAAUUACUGGGCGUAAAGCGUACGCAGGCGGUUUGUUAAGCGAGAUGUGAAAGCCCCGGGCUCAACCUGGGAACUGCAUUUCGAACUGGCAAACUANAGUCUUGUANAGGGGGGUAGAAUUUCAGGUGUAGCGGUGAAAUGCGUANAGAUCUGAAGGAAUACCGGUGGCGAAGGCGGCCCCCUGGACAAAGACUGACGCUC
rnacentral:rRNA from 1 species